GAUGAAGAACGUAGCGAAAUGCGAUACGUAAUGUGAAUUGCAGAAUUCAGUGAAUCAUCGAGUCUUUGAACGCACAUUGCGCCCUUUGGUAUUCCGAAGGGCAUGCCUGUUCGAGCGUCAUUAUCACCCCUCAAGCCCCCGGCUUGGUGUUGGACGGUUUGGUGGAGGCCCCCUCGGGGGCUCCUGCCCCUCCCAAAGACAAUGACGGCGGCCUCGUUGGACCCCCGGUACACUGAGUUCUUCACGGGACACGUAUCGGACACAUGGGUUUACGGGACACGGUCUGCCUCCCCUCAGGGAGAAUCUUUCUAAGGUUGACCUCGGAUCAGGUAGGGAUACCCGCUGAACUUAAGCAUAUCAAUAAGCGGAGGA
rnacentral:misc_RNA from 1 species